UACGAAGGGGGCGAGCGUUGUUCGGAAUUACUGGGCGUAAAGGGCGCGUAGGCGGCGACCCAAGUCAGAUGUGAAAUCCCCCGGCUCAACCGGGGAAUUGCGCCUGAUACUGGUGGGCUCGAGGUCGAUAGGGGUGAGCGGAACUCCAGGUGGAGCGGUGAAAUGCGUAGAUAUCUGGAGGAACACCGGUGGCGAAGGCGGCGUUCUGGACUGCAACUGACACUGAGAGACGAAAGCCAGGGGAGCAAACGGG
rnacentral:rRNA from 1 species